CCAGCCACCGCGGUCAUACGAUUAGCCCGAAUCAAUAGGCAAACGGCGUAAAACGUGUUAAGGAUUAUAUUAUAUUAAAGUUAAAAUUUGACAAGGCUGUAAAAAGCUACUGUUAAUAUAAGAUAAACCACGAAAGUGACUUUAUUACUUCCAUCAACACGAUAGCUGAGACCCAAACUGGGAUUAGAUACCCCACUAUGCUCAGCCCUAAACAUAAAUAAUUAU
rnacentral:rRNA from 1 species